rnacentral:misc_RNA from 1 species
GAUGAAGAACGUAGCGAAGUGCGAUAAGUAAUGUGAAUUGCAGAAUUCCGUGAAUCAUCGAAUCUUUGAACGCAUAUUGCACCCUCUGGUAUUCCAGAGAGUAUGCCUGUUUGAGGGUCAGUUAAAUAAAAUCGGUUUUGUUGCUGUUUUUUUUUGCGGUGACAUUCCGGAAUUGGGUCGUCUUUACCCUUUGGUAUAAGUGACCUAAAAUUUUACUUGAUUUUUCGAACGUAUUUAAAUAUUUACUUACGUUUGUGAUAUCGAAUAUUAGAUGUGAUCAUUUUCCAUGAUUCGCGUCCAUAAUUUUUCAUCUAAUGACCUCAAAUCAGGUAAGAGUACCCGCUGAACUUAAGCAUAUCAAUAAGCGGAGGA